AGCUUUGUGUGUUGGCAGUAUCAUAACCAAUGAGGUCUAUCCAAGGCGUGAUUAUUGCUAAUUGAAAACUUUUCCCAAUACCCCAUUAUGAUGAAUCGCAAUCUAGUUGGCAUUGGCAAUUUUUGACAGUCCCUACGGGGA
rnacentral:snRNA from 1 species